GAUGAACGCUGGCGGCGUGCCUAAUACAUGCAAGUCGAGCGAACAGACGAGGAGCUUGCUCCUCUGACGUUAGCGGCGGACGGGUGAGUAACACGUGGAUAACCUACCUAUAAGACUGGGAUAACUUCGGGAAACCGGAGCUAAUACCGGAUAAUAUAUUGAACCGCAUGGUUCAAUAGUGAAAGACGGUUUUGCUGUCACUUAUAGAUGGAUCCGCGCCGCAUUAGCUAGUUGGUAAGGUAACGGCUUACCAAGGCAACGAUGCGUAGCCGACCUGAGAGGAUGAUCGGCCACACUGGAACUGAGACACGGUCCAGACUCCUACGGGAGGCAGCAGUAGGGAAUCUUGCGCAAUGGGCGAAAGCCUGACGGAGCAAUGCCGCGUGAGUGAUGAAGGUCUUCGGAUCGUAAAACUCUGUUAUUAGGGAAGAACAAAUGUGUAAGUAACUAUGCACGUCUUGACGGUACCUAAUCAGAAAGCCACGGCUAACUACGUG
rnacentral:rRNA from 1 species